AGGUCAGGAAGAUAUUUUCCUAUAUUUUCUGCUACUAAGUUUCUAGACCUUCUGUUAGAUCUUCACUCCAUCUUGAGUUUACCCUGGCUUCAAGGGCACUUAACAUUCCCAUCGACCCAGCCAGCCACCUUGCUAUGUUCAAGAAAAACAACUCAAAAGGUACAUUUUUAUUUCAUACUCCCUCCCAAGAGUGACAUGCCAAUAACCCAUCCCCUAAUAAACUGUACAUGUUUAGAAUACAGAAUAAAAGUGAAAUCCAACCAAUCCUGAUGAGGAAAAAAUUAAUUUCACAAAGCUGAAAAAUCUGUUACAAAGUCUCUGUUGUAUAAAUAUAGUCCAUCUUAUCUUUAAUAUAGAGUUAGACCCCCCAAAAUGUUUUGUUGGCAUAAGAAAUCCUCUGGUCCUUAGAUAUACCACAAUCGUAUUUGUAUUCCCAGGUGAAUGUAGGUGUCGAUUAUGGAAUGAAAGUUACUUAUGUGUCCCAGGACUCUAGGUAACUAAAUGAGAUUUAAAUAUUUUAUAUCUCAAACCUGCACCAUCUCCCUCAAUAUCUGUACAAACCACUCUA